rnacentral:sRNA from 1 species
GUGAGCUGCGUUCUCUACGGGAGGAGAUUUCCCUGUUAGAGCAUGAGAAAGAAAGCGAACUUAAGGAAAUAGAACGGGAAUUGCAUUUGGCCCAGGCUGAGAUCCAGAGUCUGCGGCAAGCAGCAGAGGAUUCUGCAACUGAACACGAGAGUGACAUAGCAUCCCUGCAGGAGGAUCUCUGCCGGAUGCAGAAUGAACUUGAAGACAUGGAACGCAUUCGGGGAGAUUAUGAGAUGGAGAUUGCCUCCCUCCGUGCAGAAAUGGAAAUGAAGAGCUCUGAACCAUCCAGUAGUUUAGGUCUCUCAGAUUACUCUGGGUUGCAAGAAGAACUGCAGGAGCUGCGGGAACGCUACCAUUUCCUGAAUGAGGAAUACCGGGCCCUGCAGGAGAGCAACAGCAGCCUCACGGGGCAGCUUGCAGAUCUGGAGAGUGAGAGGACACAGAGAGCAACAGAGAGAUGGCUGCAGUCCCAAACACUGAGUAUGACGUCAGCAGAGUCUCAGACUUCAGAAAUGGAUUUCUUAGAGCCUGAUCCUGAAAUGCAGUUGUUACGGCAGCAGCUACGGGAUGCUGAAGAGCAGAUGCAUGGCAUGAAGAACAAGUGUCAGGAAUUGUGUUGUGAGUUGGAAGAGCUACAGCAUCAUCGCCAGGUCAGUGAGGAGGAGCAGAGGCGGCUGCAGAGGGAACUCAAGUGUGCUCAGAAUGAGGUGCUUCGGUUUCAGACCUCCCACAGUGUCACCCAGAACGAGGAGCUGAAAUCCAGACUCUGUACCCUGCAGAAAAAAUAUGAUACUAGCCAGGAUGAGCAGAACGAGCUCUUGAAGAUGCAGCUGCAACUUCAGACUGAGCUCCGGCAGCUCAAAGUCAUGAAAUCUACACUUGUAGAAAACCAGAGUGAGAAGGUAACAGCAACCAGAGGUGAGGGGACAACUUAGGUGCUAAGGGCAUCCUUCUGAGGUUUUGGGGAAGGUGGAUGAGAGUAGUGAGUUAAAAAUAAUUCCACCAACCACAUAGGCAGCACCACAGGUAAAGAACUCCAGCCCUGCUCGAGUACUACAUUAGAUAUGAGGACAUUAGGAAGUGAAGGGCAGGAAGAAGCAAAUCUUAGACUGUUGGUGUCAAGUGACUCACACAGAAGAGUGAGUGGGUUAAGGAGCCCAAAGGCACUGCCCAAAGCCCCCUCUACCAUAGGAGUUACUGUGCCGGCUGCAGAAGCUGCAGCUCCAGCACCAGAACGUCACAUGUGAGAAGGAAAAGCUGCUGGAACGGCAGCAGCAGCUGCAGGAGGAGCUGCAGUGCCAUGAGGCAGAGCUGCAGCACCUCAGGGAUACGGUGGCCUCCUUCAAAGAGAGCAGUGAGAAGGACACAGAGACGCACACUCAGCUUCAGGAGAUGAAGCAGCUGUACCAGGCCAGCAAGGAUGAGCUGGAGCGGCAGAAGCACAUGUAUGACCAGCUGGAGCAGGACCUCCUGCUCUGCCAGCUGGAGCUGAAAGAGCUCAAGGCCUCCCAGCCCAUUCUGGAGGACAAAGGAAAGUGUGCUAAUAAGUGUGACACACUGCUGUCCAGACUGACAGAAUUGCAGGAAAAGUACAAGGCCAGCCAGAAGGAGAUGGGGCAGCUGCAGAUGGAGCAGUGUGAGCUCCUGGAGGAUCAGAGGAGGAUGCAGGAGGAGCAGGGCCAGCUGCAGGAAGAGCUGCACAGGCUCACACUGCCACUGCCCAAGAGUGGCCUCUUACUCAAGAGUCAGGAGCUACUCACCAAAUUAGAAGACCUGUGUGAGCUGCAGCUGCUCUACCAAGGCAUGCAGGAGGAACAGAAGAAGCUGAUACAGAACCAAGACUGUGUAUUAAAAGAACAAUUAGAGAUCCACGAAGAGCUGCGACAUUUCAAAGAGUCUCAUUUCCAGGAAGUGUUGGAGAAUCCUGAUGAUUCCAAAUUGGCUAAGUCCUCAAAAUGUAAUCGAAACAAGAUCUCAUCCUGGAUAUCAGCAGCCAAGAAGCCAGGCCCAGAGAGCCUGGGAAACAUGCCCAGAGGCCAGAUUCAGAAUAGGGGCAGGAGAUACAGGAACUAAUACAAUCCAAGCUGCUUAUGGAGCAGAUGCAGGCCCUGCAGGUGCUGUAUGAAGCCGGUCAGGCGGAGCAGGAGCUCUUGCAGCAAGAGCAAGGGAGGCUCCUAGAGGAGCGGAAGAGGCUGCAGGCAGACUUGCAGCUCUGCCUGGAAGAAAUGCAGCUGCUUCAAGUCCAGUCCCCUUCUAUAAAAAUGAGCCUUGAGUCCUACGGGAAGAGCUAUGGUAGCAUGGUCCCCAGCAAUGAGAACUGUCGCAAGACUUAUGAUACCACUGUGGAUGACGAUGAGAGCUAUUACAAGAGUUACACCAGCACCCAGACCAGCAGCGAGAGCUUUCUCAAGAGCUAUGACAGCAGCACCAGUGCCAGUGAGGCCUAUGGGAAGAGUUACUGCACCACCAGCAACAGCAGCAUUACCUAUAAGAAGAGUUAUGGCAGCACCAGUAGCUCUGACACCUGCCAGAAGAGUUUUGUCAGCAGCUGCACUGACGAGGAACCUGCUGAGCCUGAAGACAUGGAGCGCUUUGAGGAAAUGGUUGCGAAGGUGCUGAUCAAGCUGCAGGCGGUGCAGGCCAUGUACCAGAUAAGCCAGGAGGAACACAGCCAGCUGCAAGAGCAGAUGGAAAAAUUACUGGCCAAGCAGAAAGACUUGAAGGAAGAGCUGGAUGCCUGUGAAAGGGAGUUCAAGGAGUGCAUGGAAUGCCUUGAAAAGCCCUUGGCCCCCCAGAGCGACAAGAAUGAGAUCAAAGAACUGCAGACCAAGCUGCGGGAGCUGCAGCUGCAAUACCAGGCUAGCAUGGAUGAGCAGGGGCGGCUUCUGGUAGUGCAGGAGCAGCUGGAGGGGCAGCUACAGUGCUGCCAGGAGGAGCUCCGCCAGCUCAGGGAGAAGAGGCCCUCUGUUGUCAAAGAAGCCCGGGGGAAGAAUGCUAAUAAGAACGUGAACAAGAACGCCAAUGGGGUUAAAAUGAAAAAGGUGACCAAACCACGCUCGGAUACUUCUGAGAGCGACCUUGAGACCAGAAAGAGUCUGGAGGUAGUGCUGUACUACAAGGCCAGCCAGAGGAAAUUAGAUGGACUAGCAAAAGAGGAGGAAAAGAAAGAGGAGAUGGAGGAGGAAAAAAAGGAGGAAGUGAAAGAGGAAGCAAAGGAGCAGUGUGGGGAUGAGCUAGUUGCUGAGCCAGCAGAUCCUGGGGAAGCUAAAUCCACAGAAGAUCAGGAGGAAAAUGAAGAGGACAAAGAGGAAGAGGAGAAGGAAGAAGACAGUGAAGAGGAGGAAGAUGACGUUGACCCUUCCCUUGAAAGUGCCGAAGAAAACAACCCCCUCAGACUUUCCGAGAGCAAAAAGAACAUGUUUGGGUUGUGGAAGCCUAUGGUAUUCUUGGCUAUUGCAGCUGUGGCUCUGUAUGUGUUACCCAACAUGCGACAGCAGGAGUCAGAGUUCUGCCUCAUGGAGUGAUGGCAGACCUUGGCCAGCGCGAGGGCAGAUCCCCAGUGGCCACCACCCUCAGCUUUGGGCAGGACACACUGUGCCAGAACCCUCCCCAUAUGUUCCAUGUGUCCCCAUCUCCUCAGCCUCAGUCACCCAGGCUGAAAAGGCUUGUGGGGAGCAGCUGACUUCCAUCUCCUGCCUUGUGUAAGAACCUGAGUUCCUUGUAAUUAAAUAUCAACUGAAUUACA